rnacentral:rRNA from 1 species
AGUCGACGGUAGGCCCCUUUGGGGGUACACGAGUGGCGAACGGGUGAGUAACACGUGAGCAACCUGCCCUUGACACUGGAAUAACAGUUGGAAACAGCUGCUAAUACCGGGUAUGACCUUUCACCGCAUGGUGGGGGGUGGAAAGCCCCGGCGGUCAAGGAUGGGCUCGCGGCCUAUCAGCUAGUUGGUGAGGUAAUGGCUCACCAAGGCUUCGACGGGUAGCCGGCCUGAGAGGGCGACCGGCCACACUGGGACUGAGAUACGGCCCAGACUCCUACGGGAGGCAGCAGUGGGGAAUAUUGCACAAUGGGCGGAAGCCUGAUGCAGCAACGCCGCGUGCGGGAUGACGGCCUUCGGGUUGUAAACCGCUUUCAGUAGGGACGAAGCUAACGUGACGGUACCUACAGAAGAAGCACCGGCCAACUACGUGCCAGCAGCCGCGGUGAUACGUAGGGUGCGAGCGUUGUCCGGAAUUAUUGGGCGUAAAGGGAUUGUAGGCGGUCCGUCGCGUCGGAAGUGAAAACUCAGGGCUUAACCCUGAGCCUGCUUCCGAUACGGGCGGACUAGAGGUAUGCAGGGGAGAACGGAAUUCCUGGUGGAGCGGUGGAAUGCGCAGAUAUCAGGAGGAACACCGGUGGCGAAGGCGGUUCUCUGGGCAUUACCUGACGCUGAGAAUCGAAAGCGUGGGGAGCAAACAGGCUUAGAUACCCUGGUAGUCCACGCCGUAAACGGUGGGCACUAGGUGUGGGGGACAUUCCACGUUCUCCGUGCCGAAGCUAACGCAUUAAGUGCCCCGCCUGGGGAGUACGGCCGCAAGGCUAAAACUCAAAGGAAUUGACGGGGGCCCGCACAAGCGGCGGAGCAUGCGGAUUAAUUCGAUGCAACGCGAAGAACCUUA